rnacentral:rRNA from 1 species
UGGGGAAUAUUGGACAAUGGGCGAAAGCCUGAUCCAGCAAUGCCGCGUGAGUGAUGAAGGCCUUAGGGUUGUAAAGCUCUUUUACCAGGGAUGAUAAUGACAGUACCUGGAGAAUAAGCUCCGGCUAACUCCGUGCCAGCAGCCGCGGUAAUACGGAGGGAGCUAGCGUUGUUCGGAAUUACUGGGCGUAAAGCGUACGUAGGCGGUGACUCAAGUCAGAGGUGAAAGCCUGGAGCUCAACUCCAGAACUGCCUUUGAAACUAGGUCGCUAGAAUCACGGAGAGGUGAGUGGAAUUCCGAGUGUAGAGGUGAAAUUCGUAGAUAUUCGGAAGAACACCAGUGGCGAAGGCGACUGACUGGACAAGUAUUGACGCUGAGGUACGAAAGCGUGGGGAGCAAACAGGAUUAGAUACCCCUGUAGUCCCUGAGCGGGCUGGCAAGGCGCAU